UCCUUCUACUUCACAGAAUCUUUAAAGGCCACGCUAUAAGAAGAAAGCUAAAUUUGGGGAUGUGAGAAGGAAAAAUCACUGGUCAGCAAAGACAUUAGUAUAAUAUAUUGGUAAAAUCUAAAUUGGUAUUGCACUUAAAAAUUAAAUGAGACUAAAUCUGUAGCCUUUAAAGUUAAUAAUAAUGGAACUGAAACGCUUGACAAUGACAAAAUGGGAAAUUAGAUAACAACUACUCUUUUGUUUUUCAUCUUAACCAAAUCCUAACCUUUAGCACUCUUCUUCCAUUCUUACAGGCCACAGUUCCUCAACCAGUAUUUGCCAACCAUUUCUAUCUCAUGUUUCAAUCUUUCUCUGCCUUCCCAGUUAAUCUGUGACAGGGUUAAGGAGACUGUAUCAAGGACUAUUUGUUAGAUUAGAAAAUGUUGACAUUCAAAUUGGAAAUCAAUAUGUAACUUUCAUUUUGCCAAGAAACUACAAAGCCAAAUAUGGGUGAUUUCCUAAUAUCUUGUUUUUAUACCACUGUUAUUGAAAAUGUCAUAUACAUACCGCAUGCUAUUACAACUGUUUGAAUUAUAAUGGAUUUGCUAAUUUACACUAUUUUAUUGCUUUAUUCCCAAAAGAUGAAGAAAAAUGUGAAACAAUAGCUUAAGUGGAAAUCUAUGCAAAAAUAAUCAUCAGACCCUUAGGGCUUUUUAAAAAUGCCUCCCAGCAAAUGAAAAAAAAAAAAAAAAGAAUGUAAAAUAAAUAUAUGAGACUCCAGCACUUUAACAUCAAUUCUUAGUUAUUGAUAUAGCUACAAAAAAUGAAAUUAAAAACAUAUGGCAGAGGGAGUUCCCAUCGUGGCUCAGUGGUUAAUGAAUCCGAGUAGGAACCAUGAGGUUGCAGGUUCGAUCCCUGGCCUUUCUCAUGAGUUAAGGAUCCGGUGUUGCCAUGAGCUGUAGUGCAGGUCAGACUUGGCUCAGAUCUGGAAUUGCUGUGGCUGUGAUGUAGUCUGGUGGCUACAUCAAGUCAUUGAGAUUUAAAUUAACAUUACUUUAAAUUUCCUUUUAAUAUAUUUGUCUUCUAAUGUAAAUAUACUUACAUUAAUGUUAACAAUGAAAAUCUAUAUGAUUUUCUGUCUCUGUGUUUGACAAUCCUGGAGGUAGUUAUCUCUUGCUACUCCAGUAUGAAACAACACUGAAAAUGGCAACAAUAACUUGUUACAGGAAAUAGCUGAUGCUGUCAUUUGAGACUGUGAACUAACUAAAACUAAUUUGCUAAAAUUGAACAGUAAACUGAAACAGUUUAUAUAUCAAGCCUAUCAGCUUACUCAUCAAGACUAAUUCAAGACACUUGCCUAGCUAUACUCAACAAUUCAAAGCCACUGUCAUAAACCAUUCAAAACCCAACCAGUUCCCUACCUUCAAGAGCCACCUUAAAAUCAUCCAACCUAGGUUCUAAAAUCCUAAAAAUAUUUUCCCAGAUCUCUCAAUUCUAUACUAUUAAAACUGUCAGGAGGAUCUUCUCUAAUUACUGCACUGGGUUGACUAUGCUAAGCUGUGUUGAAUCAACACAGUUUCUAGGUGUUCUGCUGGGAAGCUGACAGUAGACGAUUCCUGGAAGUGCCAUUGGGAUCUAGUCAAGUUAUCCUAACUGCUGUGGCUCAAAACCCUUGACGUGGAAAAGGCUCUCCCUUGUAUUUCCUUGAAUCUCUCACUCAGGAGUGUCUCCAAUUGUGAUAGUGAGAAAGGUUCUUCAUUGGAUUUGAGCUCUGCUUUCUUUUCAAAAUCUUCUGAAUGUUAAAUUUCUUUUUGUCUAGGAAUAUUCUGUCUGUUCAGAUUUUAAAAUAGUUAUCUUUGAUGGAAAAAAUAACACAACUAACAAUACAACCAAUGGUCUCUUUAUCCUUGUCACUUUCCAUGGUGAGUCUAUAAAGGAACAAUCUAUUGAGAGAAAAUGAUAAGUUUGGUAAGCCCAGUCUUAGUCUGUUCUAAAGCCUCAAAACAGACAAGUUUAGAGGGAUUGUCAGACUGGCUCUUUCUGAAAUUACUUUGCCUUGGUUUAUACUGUUUAUAACAUAUUCUUUCUCCUACAGCAAUUAUGGAUUGCAUCUCUAAAAAUUAAUUGUCUGUAAUACCUAAAUAAAGGAUUUCAAUCUCUACCAUUAUGAUAUUAUGUUCCCAGAGAUUUCAUGAGCUGGAAAAGACAGCAGAAAAAAAAAAUCUCCAUUAAGACAAUAAAAGGACAUUAUCAGGUACUGUUAACAAUGAACACAACAGUAAAAGGCUAGAGUGCCACUCCUCACAUCUACAUCCUCUGAGGACCUCAAGCCGAAGACUUUAAGGAGCAAACUUUGAGGAGUUCCUGCCUUGGCACAAGCAGGUUAAGGAUCCGGCAUUUUCUCUGCAGCAGCUUGGGUUGCUGCUGAGGUACAGGUUCAAUCCCCAGCCCAGCGCAGUGAGUUAAGGAUCUGGCAUUGCUGCAGCUAUAGCUUAGGUCACAGCUGAAGCUCAGAUCCCAUCCCCGACUAGGUAUUGUCCACAUGCUGUGGUGCAGCCAAGAAAAGAAAAAAGAAAAGAAAAGAAAAGAUAAAAAGGAGCAAAUUUUGUGGGCAUGAUAAAGUGUUUGCAAAGACUUUCAGAGCAAGUGGACAACUGCAUGAAGCAGGCAGCUGCCACUGAAAACCCAUAGAACAAAAUUCACAUAUCUAGAGUCACAGACUCAGUCUUAUCUGGAUUGGCAUGCUUUUGUUUUUUAGUUUUUGUAGCUAUUUUAUAACUUCUUUACUGUUUUGGAUUUCUGUGUUAUUAACAGGUAUUUUUCAUCUGGAAAUUAUGAU
ensembl:lncRNA